AAAAGAAAGAGCUCGGGCAAUAUGAGACCUCCACACGUUCAUCUCCAACUCCAAUGAGCAGACAUAGGAAACUGGUUUUCUUUGCAAGGCCCAGAUUGUUGGUGUCCUCAAAUAAAAUGGAUGGUCCUUUGUUUCUUGCAUCAGUUGCAGCAGGAAGCUUUCAAAAUCCGUCACUUUCUUCAGUUGCAACCGAUAUCUUUCUUCCAACCUGACAUGAGUCAUCAGAUCCAGGUUUCGUGUUGAACUAGCUGUCGAUGACGGAAAGGACAGUGCCACUUUUGUGGUCUUUGCCAAAGAGAUGACAAAACUCAUCAAGAAAGAGGCAACAAAUCUGGCUCUUGAGGAAGUACGUUUUCCUUUCAUAAUUUCUCUUAAAUUUGGCAUAUAAUAUUUUCUCUUACUCUAAAGCCGC